UAUGUAAUGCUGAAGGCAGCCCAUUCUCUGCUUUGCCUUGUCUUCCCGAGUAGCUGCUCCAUUCCCGGCAUAGAGGAUCAGGAGAGGGGACGCCACCUGCCACACGCUGGAUGCUGGGGUCCGCACGACUGCGGCUUGUGUCGCUGUGGUUGGUGGUGGUGAUGGAAACUGCAGCGUGGCUGGAGUGAAGGCUGAAGAAGUGCACAUGUCCAAUCAAGAAUAUUAAGGAAGAGUGAAUUGGAGAAAGUACAAAAUUGAACAUACAAAUGGAGUUUUGCUCUUUGUUGCCCAGGCUGGAGUGCAGUGACGCAAUCUCGGCUCACCGCAACCUCUACCUUCCGGGUUCAAGUGAUUCUCCUGUCUCAGCCUCCCAAGUAACAGAUUACAGGCACCUGCCACCACACCUGGCUAAUUUGUGUAUUUUUAGUAGAGAUGGGGAUUCAUCAUGUUGGCCAGGAUGGUCUCAAACUCCUGACCUCAGGUGAUCUGCCAGCCUCGGCCUCCCAAAGUGCUGGGAUUACAGGCAUAAGCCACCACUCCCGGCCCCAGUUACUUGUCAAUUUCUAAAACAAUGUGCUUGCUAUGAUAUUUAUUAAAAUUGCAUCAACUCUAUCAUAGAUUCAGGAAAAAUUAAUAUCUUAACAUUAUUGAGUCUUCCAGUUCAUAAAUAUGACCUAUGUCUCCAUGUACUUAGGUCUUUUAAAAUUUCUUUAUCAGUGUAUAGAUCUUCCACAUCUUUGGUUAAAUUUAUUCCUGAAUAUGUUUGUUAUUUUGAACGUAUUUGUUUUUUUUCUAUUUUAUUUCCAUAAGUUUUUGGGGAACAGGUUGUGUUUGGUUACAUGAAUAAGUUCUUCAGUGGUGGUAUCUGAGAUUCUGGUGCAUCCAUCAAUCUGAGCAGUAUACACCGUACCCAAUUUGUAGUCUUUUAACCUUUAUCCCCCUCCCACCCUUUCCCCACAAGCCCCCAAAGUCCACCGUAUCAUUCUUAUGGCUUUGUAUCCUCAUAGCUUAUCUCCCACUUAUGAGUGAGAACAUACCGUAUUUCUUUUUUAAAUGUCAUUUUCAAUUGCUUGCUACUGAUAUACAGAAAUAAAAUGUGAUUAUUGCAUAUUGAUCUCUUAUCCUGUGAUCUUGCUGUAAUCACUUGGUCUAGGAGAUUUUGUAUAUUCCUUUAGGAUUGUUUAUAUACAUA
rnacentral:lncRNA from 10 species